rnacentral:tRNA from 1 species
ACUUUUAAAGGAAAAUAGCAAUCCGCUGGCUUUAGGCGCCAAGCCCCUUGGUGCAAGUCCAAGUAAAAGUA